ensembl:lncRNA
CAGCUAGUCAUCAGAGUCAUCAGCCUCUGGAGUCGCCCUAACCUGAAUUAUUUGUUCCUCUCCCUGUUUCCACUGCGGCAACACAAGCUGUGUUCUUCCACCUCAAAUCUAUUAAUACCAGGCAGAGGUGUUGGGACCACAGAGAAAGUGCGGGCAUCUCUCAUCCUUAAAGGACAAGCAGAACGGCAGUGACUGAGAUGAAACACACCCGCCUCUUGCAUCUCACGUGUGUCUGGGUGGUGCACAGCUUGGAGGAGCAGCCGUGCAGAGGGCAGGCGUGCAGAGUAAGUUGGAGCCGAAAUGCCACCAAAUCCCGGAGGGUAAGAAAUCCUCCUUCUUCUCUGUGUGUAUCCGGUCAUGUCCCUCUUCCGAGUCCCGAAGUCCUGCCUUGAGAUUGUCCAGUGAAGAGGGUCGUCUCUGGAUUCUGGACCAUACCAUUUUCUACCAAGCUCUGAGAAUGGGUAUAAACAAAGUGACUGCUCGGGGAUGACCUUGGGGAUGACCUUGGGGAAGAUACAGGGAGCUCUUCCAACGUUUGAGAUUCAGAGUUUUCAGUCUCCUCAGCUUCUGUGGUCUGCCCACUGCCCACGAGGGCUGCUCUUGAAACUGUGAGUAGUGUAGCGUCUUGCCUUCCGAAUAAGUCAACUUCUUCCGUGGGUUCAGUUUUCAUUUCCUCUCCACCAGACCCCGUCAUCACCAUGGCUACUGAGACUGCAGAUUGCUUUCAACUUUCCAAAAGCUCAAGCUCUGACACCAACCACAGUCCUGCCAUCUCUCGUAUUCCUUUAUUCCGAUUAACAUAUUGUUCUCGCUCUCUUUACCUUCCUUUCAUCUCAUCUCUCAUCCAGUCCUUCCAAUUUCCCCAAUAUCAGGUCAGACACAUUUCAACUCUUGAUGCUGGGUCCCCAGGGUUGACCAUUAGUGCCAUGCAAUAGCAAUCGUCCUGAGAUGACCCCCUCCACCUCUGAGGGCAAGGCCCUUCCAACCCUCUUCACGCCUCCCUCUUUUUUCUCUCCCAUCUCUGCUUUUGGACAUCUUCUCUCACAUCUCUGCUUGUGGACAUUGUAACAAGGGUUUUAAAUUAGGUUCUCUAGAGAGUUGUAUAUAUGGUUCACGUAAAUAGAGUUUUUUUCAUUACAUUGACCUGAACAUCGUUAUCAAAGUGGACCUGGAAAAUAUCCAGGUGCCGAGUGAAGGGCAUAAGUGGGGAACACAGACAAAAGAACCGUCCAGACUGAUGGGACAGCAGUCCAUGGCAGACCCCCACCCUCGGGAGCCUGGCAGGCAGCUGAGUGGGCCUGGGGAUGGGGGAGUUGAGUUGAACUCCAAGGUUUCUUCCUUGCUAUGCUGGGCCACGGGGUGAUUCAACAGAGAAGGCAAAGAAGAAUGCAAGGACACGCUGUGGAUAGAACAUGAUGAGAUGAACCUUAUCAAUGAGAAAAACGUGGAAUUUGCAGGUUUGGGCUCUCUGGCAGGUAGGUUGGUGUAUAUCUGAGGCUUAGUAGAGAAAACUGAAGUUAAAAAAAAAUAGAUUUGAGAGUUGCCAAAACCAUAUGCAUUAAUGUAGGCUCAACUUUCAAGUUUCAGAAACUGUUCUUUAAGGAAAUAGAUAGCAGUGAAGAUUUUAAAACAUGGCACUGGGGACAGGAACAAGGUGGAUCUCAUGGAGAAAGCAAGCUUACACUAACAUUCAGAACUCCUCCAGCACCAAGGACUCUCAUUCUGGGUCAUUCCUGUCACCUUUGAAAGUCAGUGCUAUUCAUUCUUCAUUCCGUUUCUCCAUCCAAGUGGUACCCACGUCUUGUAAUCUUACAAGAGACAUUUCCAGCUCAGUUCACAAACUGACUGGAUGCUUCUAGGUACCAAAUACAAAUCCUUAGGAAAAGGAAUCUGAUUGUUCCAGUGUAAGCCACAUGCCCACUUCUUGCCCAAUAAGCUACAGGUAGGGAGAUGGAAUUACACUGAGUAAGUCUAGCCCAGGGCCUUCCUUGAGAAUAAAAAUCUGAUGCCAGGAAAGGACACUGGCUCAUAGGAUGAGCAGAUCUCCACCCAAGUGGUAAACAACUCCACUGUGGAAAUGAAGGGGUGACUGUGAGCAUGGAUGAAAAGGAAGUACUUAGACUAGCUGCAAAUAGAAGAGGGAAAAGUGGAAAUGGUGGUAGAUUUUAUUUUCUUGGGCUCCAAAACAUCAGCUGCUGACGUUGACUGCAGCUAUGAAAUUAAAAGAUGUUUGCUCCUUGGAAGGAAAGCUAUGACUAACCUAGACAGCAUAUUAAAAAGCAGAGACAUCACCUUGUAGACAAAGGUCUGUGGAGUCAAAGCUAUGGUUUUUCUAGUAGUCAUGUACAGAUGUGAGAUUGUUGUUGCUAUUCUGUCACCCAGUUGGGUCUGACUCUUUGUGACCUCAUGGACUGCAGCACACCAGGCCUCCUUUUCCCCCACUAUCUCCCACAGUUUGUCCAAGUUCAUGUCCAUUGGAUCGGUGAUGCCAUCUCAUCCUCUGACCCCCUUCACGGAUCACUGCCUUAUCAUGGCUAAAGGACUUUUGUAACUCAAUGGAACUAUGAGCCAUGCCAUGUAGGGCCACCCAAGAGGGACGGGUCAUAGUGGAGAGUUCUGACCAAAUGUGAUCCACCAGAGGAGAGGAUGGCAAACCAUCCCAGUGUACUUGCCGUGAGAACCCCAUGAACUGUAUAGAAAGACAAUGUGAGUCGGACCAUAUAGAAGGCUGAGCACCAAAGAAUUGAAACUUUCGAAGUGUGGUGCUGGAGACGACUGUUGAGAGUCCUUUGGACUGCAAGAUUAAGCCAGUCAACCCUAAAGGAAAUCAACUCUGAAUAUCCAUUGGCAGGACUGAUGCUGAAGCUCAAGUUCCCAUACUUUGGCUACCUGAUUUGAAGAGUUGACUCAUUGGAAAAGACUCUGAUGCUAAGAAAGACUGAAGGCAAAAGGAGAAGGGAGUGGCAGAGGAUGAGAUGUUUACAUAGCAUCAUUGAUUCAAUGCACAUGAAUCUGAGCAAACUCUGGGAGAUGGUAGAGGACAGAGGAGCCUGGUGAGCUGCAGUCCAUGGGGUCAAAAAGAGUUGGACAUGAUCUGGCAACUGAUCAACAACAACAAUACUAGUUGAAAUACAUCAAGAAUUUCAUGUUUUUCUUCUCAUAAACGGUUC